GAGGUUGUGGCUCAGUGAUAGAGCACUUGCCUAGCACGAGUGAGGCACUGAGUUUGAUCCUCAGCACCACA
rnacentral:tRNA from 1 species